AGCGAACGCUGGCGGCGUGCUUAACACAUGCAAGUCGAACGGUGAACCGCUUUCGGGCGGGGAUCAGUGGCGAACGGGUGAGUAACACGUGGGUAACCUGCCCUCCACUCUGGGAUAACUCCGGGAAACCGGGGCUAAUACCGGAUACGACCUUCCCCCGGCAUCGGGGAGGGUGGAAAGUUUUUCGGUGGAGGAUGGACCCGCGGCCUAUCAGCUUGUUGGUGGGGUAACGGCCUACCAAGGCUUUGACGGGUAGCCGGCCUGAGAGGGCGACCGGCCACACUGGGACUGAGACACGGCCCAGACUCCUACGGGAGGCAGCAGUGGGGAAUAUUGCACAAUGGGCGAAAGCCUGAUGCAGCGACGCCGCGUGAGGGAUGACGGCCUUCGGGUUGUAAACCUCUUUCAGCAGGGACGAAGCGCAAGUGACUGUACCUGCAG
rnacentral:rRNA from 1 species